GCAAGCCAGUCAACUCAAUUAGAGUAGCUAAGUUUCCAGACAGCUAACGUUUAUUAAGUGUGUUGAAAAGACUAGUGUCUUUGCUUGUGUAUUUUAUUUUUUAUGGGAUCAAAAACAGAAAGACAUGCUGUUUUUAUCCACUCUGAUAUUCACUCUCUGGUGAGAUAAAUCAUCAGCUUUUAAUAUGACCACAAACCAAUGUUAAAGUUGAAGGCACCUGCUUGGACCACCACUACCUGGAGGGUGGCCACAAUAAAAAGGAGCAGAACACACUGAAAGCAGGCAGGAUGGAGAUGGUUCCCUACCUGUUCCUCUGUCCUGGCCUGCUUAAACUCUUCUCCACAUAAUACAGACAACAACUGUCUAGAAAGCACAGCUGAACAUCAUGUUCACAGAAGCUGCCAAGCCAGUUACACCUAAAUGUUUAUACUCAGAGGCAAACUUAUUCUUUCACACACUCUCUGCUUGGUGUGUAACACAAUCGUAAUCUAAACUGCAAGGAACGUUUAAUCAUUGAGUCAUCAAGGAGGUUACUCAGUGCUUUACAAUACUUGGGCAAGUUCCUCUACUUCACAUACAUAAACAAACAUGACUAUCUGUACUCCCUUCUUUUCUCAGGUGUUUCAUUGUUUCGCAACUUGUAUAACUUGUCUCAAGGAAAGUUAAUUUUUAACAGAAAAAUACUCUUAAUGCUUUCUGACUGGCAGCUUUGGCAUUAUGUUAAACCAACAUAGGGCGCAUGUUGAUAGGUCACCUGCAAAAAUAAAUAAAUCAAUGAGUAUUUUUUUUCCUGUAUUUGCAAAGAAGGUCUGAAAAGUCACACCCAACACAAAAGGGCUUGACUUUCGCUUAGUGAUAACAGCAUGGCCACACUGUUUUCGCUCUUCAUUCAUUGUUUCUUUGGUGAAAAACCAACUGGAAUAGGAUCAUCACAGCAGAAAUCCGUUUACCAGAGAGGCCUGACUCCAGUCACAGUUAUCUGACCCAAGUGAAAGCAUUCCCAAAGACAAAAACAUCACCGCUUGCACAGAUUUCAAGAAUCUCAUCUGAAUUUCUAGGAAAUUGUUGCAUUCCUGGAAAAAGAAAUUCUCUUCCUCGGAGAUGGGCCAUCAUUAUUGGGGGACUUAAAGAUUUCAAAUGCAGGGUCCCCCUCUCACCAGUCUACCUUAAGAAUGAAAAGGAGAUGCUCUUCUUUAUGGGAGACAAAUAUUACAGGUGUAUGACAUGACAGUCUGACCCUUUUGGACUGCGGUUCAGGGACCAGGGAAAUGCAGAACCACCCGCUGUAGGAGAAAAUCAUGUCUGAAACCACCUAAAGAACCUGAAGAUGUGCAAAACCAUGGGACCUGAUGAGAUGCAUCUGCAGGUCCUGAGGGAACUGACUGGUGUAGCUGCUAAGCCACUACCUAAUUUGAGAAGUUGUGGUAGUCUGCUGAAGUUCCCACUGUCUGUAAGAGGGGAAGCAUAACCCCCAUUCUUAAAAAAUAAGGGAAGAAAGGAAGACACAGGGAACUACAGCACAGUCAGUCUCACCUCUGUGCCCAGCAAUAUCAUGGAACAGAUCUUCCUAGAAAUUCUGCUGGGGCACAUAGAAAAUAAGGAGGUGACUGGUGACAGCAUGGCUUCACUAAGGGCAGAUCAUGCCUUACAAGCCUGGUGGCCUUCUACAAUGGGGUUACAGCACUGCUGGAUAGGGGAAGAGCAACAGACAUCAUCUACCUGGACUUGUGCAAAGUACUGGACACUGGCUCCCAUGAUAUCCUUGUCUCUAAAUUAGGCAGACAUGAAUUUGUUGAAUGGACCACUCAGUGGGCAAGGAAUUGGCUGAAUGGUCAUGCUCAAAGAGUUGCAGUCAGUGGUUCAAUAUCCAGGUGGAGACCAGUGACAAGUGGUGUUCCUCAGAUGUCAGCUCUGCCAACAGUGCUGUUUAACAUCUUUGUUGGAAACUGGACAGUGGGAUCAAGUGCACCCUCAGCAAGUUUUCUAAUGACAUCAAGUGGGGUGUGGUGAACAUGCUGGAGGGAAGGGAUGCCAUACAGAGGGACCUGGACAGGAUGGAGAGGUGGGCCUGUGAAGGUGGCCCCAACAAGGCCAACAACAAGAUCCUGCACUUGGGUCAGGGCAAUCCCAAGCACAAACACAGACUGGGUGGAGAACGGAUUGAGAGCAGCCCUGUGGAGAAGGACUUGGAGGUGUUGGUUGAUGAGAAGCUCAACAUGAUCCAGCAAUGUCUCUAGCAGCCCAGAAAGCCAACCAUAUCCUGGGUGGAACAAAAGCAGCCUGGCCAGCAGGAUGAGGGAGGGGAUUCUCUCCCUCUGCUCUGCUCUCCUGAGACCCAUCUGGAGCCCUGAGUUCAGCUCUGGAACCCCCAGCACAAGAAUAACAUGGACAUAUUAGACUGUCUCUGAAUAAUAAUGUGGAGGGUGCCUCCACUGAGCACAGCUAAAGGCAAGCAGAGAUUGCUCUGCCAUCUCUUCACCCUCCCCAGGGCUGGUGUCUUCAUAAGCUCAGUGAGAUAUAUUCUCAUGUCCUAGCUAAACAGAACACACAAGCAUGGUUCAUAAAAUCAUGGCUCCUUCAGUUUGGCAGUCAGGCAAAUAAGAAACCAAUGUUGAGAAAGACCCACAAAAUCUUUAUCCCACACUAUUCCAAACAGUCAGUGCUCAAAAUAGUCCUGAGAUAAACUAUUCAUCUACAGAUCUUCUGUAAACACCAAACCACCGAAAGAGAAAGUUCGCAGGUAUCUGAAGUGCCUUAAUGCAACAGAUAACUUGUUAGAUACAUGUAGUAGAUCCCUUCUUGCCAUGCGUACUUCUUCUGCCCUCAAUACAUUCUCUCUCCAGGAAGAUACUCUGGAGAAAUAAGCAGAGUCCAGAAGACAGUCCUAUCAAACUUGCGUUUAAAAUAGAAUUAAUCGUCCUUAAAAUUUUCUGGCAAAUUUGGAGUAGAAAUGCAAUUCAAAAUACUUACAAUAGCUAAGUAAAUAAAGAAUAAAAAUAUCUUAAAAUUGGCAGAAUGAGAAGAGAACAUCAGUAAAAAAAAAAAAAAAAUCAUUUCAUAUAUCUGCAUACCUAAAAAAAAAAAAAAAAAAAAAAAGAUUAUUUCUCUCUCCUAUCUAAUAUAUUGCAUUUUUUUCUGACCUGUCUAAGUAAUUUGUAAUCUUCUUUUCUUUUGCAAAUUAAAUGGGAAAAAAAAUGCAGUUACUCAAAAAAAAAGGGAGGGGGGAGGGGGGUUGAAGUUAGGGGGAAAAUAGCUAAAACUUUUCCAAUAAAAGUUAUUGGGAAAAUUCUGACCCACCUGUCUUAAAAUCAAUUCACACUUACUAAGCGUAUGAAAUAAGGAUGCAGAGUGAACGCAAUAUUGUUACAGCUGUUCUGAGUAAACCACUGAGCAAACACAUUGAUUCAUUCUAAAGAAACCACAUAUGGAAAAGCUGUAAAAUCUUCGUAGGAGGUAUGAAAUUAAUUUGACUUGGUGAACACAGAGCAUGUGUAUAUUCUGUCACGGGCACUGGUAAUAAAAUAAAUAAGGAUGAAACUAAA